rnacentral:rRNA from 1 species
AGAGUUUGAUCAUGGCUCAGAUUGAACGCUGGCGGCAUGCCUUACACAUGCAAGUCGAACGGCAGCGCGGGAGCAAUCCUGGCGGCGAGUGGCGAACGGGUGAGUAAUACAUCGGAACGUGCCCAAUCGUGGGGGAUAACGCAGCGAAAGCUGUGCUAAUACCGCAUACGAUCUACGGAUGAAAGCAGGGGACCGCAAGCCUUGCGCGAAUGGAGCGGCCGAUGGCAGAUUAGGUAGUUGGUGGGGUAAAGGCUCACCAAGCCGACGAUCUGUAGCUGGUCUGAGAGGACGACCAGCCACACUGGGACUGAGACACGGCCCAGACUCCUACGGGAGGCAGCAGUGGGGAAUUUUGGACAAUGGGCGCAAGCCUGAUCCAGCCAUGCCGCGUGCAGGAUGAAGGCCUUCGGGUUGUAAACUGCUUUUGUACGGAACGAAAAGCCUCCUUCUAAUAAAGGGGGGGUCAUGACGGUACCGUAAGAAUAAGCACCGGCUAACUACGUGCCAGCAGCCGCGGUAAUACGUAGGGUGCAAGCGUUAAUCGGAAUUACUGGGCGUAAAGCGUGCGCAGGCGGUGAUGUAAGACAGUUGUGAAAUCCCCGGGCUCAACCUGGGAACUGCAUCUGUGACUGCAUCGCUGGAGUGCGGCAGAGGGGGAUGGAAUUCCGCGUGUAGCAGUGAAAUGCGUAGAUAUGCGGAGGAACACCGAUGGCGAAGGCAAUCCCCUGGGCCUGCACUGACGCUCAUGCACGAAAGCGUGGGGAGCAAACAGGAUUAGAUACCCUAGUAGUCC